rnacentral:siRNA from 1 species
AGUAACGUCCUGCCAAACCCAUC